AUUGAACGCUGGCGGCAGGCCUAACACAUGCAAGUCGAGCGAGCGGCGGACGGGUGAGUAAUGUCUGUGAAACUGCCUGUGGGAGGGGGGUAACUACUGGAAACGGUAGCUAAUACCGCAUACCAUCAGAUGUGCCCAGAUGGGAUUAGCUAGUAGGUGGGGUAACGGCUCACCUAGGCGACGAUCCCUAGCUGGUCUGUGAGGAUGACCAGCCACACUGGAACUGAGACACGGUCCAGACUCCUACGGGAGGCAGCAGUGGGGAAUAUUGCACAAUGGGCGCAAGCCUGAUGCAGCCAUGCCGCGUGUGUGAAGAAGGCCUUCGGGUUGUAAAGCACUUUCAGCGGGGAGGCGUUACCUGCAGAAGAAGCACCGGCUAACUCCGUGCCAGCAGCCGCGGUAAUUC
rnacentral:rRNA from 1 species